rnacentral:rRNA from 1 species
CAAGUCGAACGAGAGGUCCUAAUGAAGCUUCGGCCGAUUUAGGAGUGAACCUCUAGUGGCAAACGGGUGAGUAACUCAUUGGUAAUCUGCCCCAAGGACUAGAAUAAGCCUUCGAAAGAGGGUCUAAUACUAGAUGGUAACAAGUGUCAUAUGAUUUCUUGUUUAAAGUCUUGUUUACUGCGGUGAACAAGAUCGCCUUGGGAGGAGCCUAUGUCCCAUCAGCUUGUUGGUAGGGUAAUGGCCUACCAAGGCAAUGACGGGUAGCUGGUCUGAGAGGACGAUCAGCCACAUCGGAACUGAGAUACUGUCCGGACUCCUACGGGAGGCUGCAGUCAAGAAUCUUCCGCAAUGGGGGAAACCCUGACGGAGCGACGCCGCGUGACCGAAGAAGCCCUUCGGGGUGUAAAGGUCUUUUAUGUAGGAAUAAAACCCGGCAAUCGCCGGGCUUGAAGGUACUACAAGAAUAAGCCACGGCUAACCUCGUGCCAGCAGCCGCGGUAAGACGAGGGUGGCAAGCGUUAUCCGGAUUUAUUGGGCGUAAAGAGUCUGUAGGCGGUUUUUUAAGUCAGCUGUAAAGUCCUCAAGCUCAACUUGAGGGCGGCGGCUGAAACUGAAAGACUAGAGAUAAUGAGAGGUGAGUGGAACCUUCGGUGUAGUAGUAAAAUGCGUUAAUAUCGAAGGGAACGCCAAUUGCGAAGGCAGCUCACUAGAAUUUUUCUGACGCUGAGAGACGAAAGCGUGGGUAGCGAAUGGGAUUAGAUACCCCAGUAGUCCACGCCGUAAACGAUGAAUACUAGGCAUAAGGGGAAUCGACCCCUUUUUGUGUCGUAGCUAACGCGUUAAGUAUUCCGCCUGGGAAGUACGGCCGCAAGGCUAAAACUCAAAGGAAUUGACGGGGACCCGCACAAGCGGUGGAGCAUGUGGUUUAAUUCGUCAGUAAGCGAAGAACCUUACCAGGGCUUGAAGCCAUGAGAACCCGCCCGAAGGGGAUGGGGUGCCGCAAGGAGCUCAUGGAUCAGGUGAUGCAUGGCUGUCGUCAGCUCGUGUCGUGAGAUGUUGGGUUAAGUCCCGCAACGAGCGCAACCCUUGUUCUGUGUUAUAUUUCACACAGAAGACUGCCGGCGUAUAGUCGGAGGAAGGCGGGGAUGACGUCAAGUCAGCAUGUUCUUUUGAUCCCCUGGGCGACACACGUGCUACAAUGGCCAGUACAAAGAGACGCCAAGUCGUAAGACGGAGCUAAUCUCAUCAAAGCUGGUCUCAGUUCGGAUUGAGGUCUGCAACUCGACCUCAUGAAGUUGGAAUCGCUAGUAAUCGUGGGUCAGCCGUACCACGGUGAAUACGUUCUCGGGUCUUGUACACACCGCCCGUCACAUCAGGAGAGUUGGUAAUACCCGAAGUCCCUCCUUGGAGGGCCUAAGGUAGGACCAGCAAUAAGGGUGAAGUCGUAACAAGGCA